AAUAUGGAGAUUUGUUACAUAGGUAUAUACAUGCCAUGGUGGUUUGCUGCUCUUGUCUUUCUUAACUGAGUUCUGCUAGCUUAUGUUUCACUUUCUGUCUUCAUGUAACCGUCAGAGGAUCCUUUGGGUAUUGCUUUACCAGCCAGAAAACCUCUGUGGCUGGCAGUGCCUCUGCUUGAGUUUUGCUCAUGCCUGUUGGACUCAUUCUGCCCACUCAGCCUGGCAGGCUGCACUUGGCUUGUGCUAUGGAUCAUAUGUCUGCCAAGGGUGAGCCAGGUGUAGAGUGGCAAGGGGUGUGUGAGCAAGUGAGUGCAGGGUCUGGCCAUUGCAUAAAACCAGACAUGCCAGCUGCAGUGGCAAGGCAGGCAGUCCCAGGCACUGGCACAGGUGCCAGCUGCAUGUGAGGCUGCAGCUGGGCCAGAUCGCAAGCAGCUUCUGCUGGGUGCACCACUGUCUGGACAAGGCGAAUGCAGUGGCACCUGAAAACUAGGAGACACCAACAACUGCAGAACUCCAAAGAGGGUGUUAUAGUGUGUCACAGACCUGGCCUGGGGAGCUCCUGGUUCUGGGGUCCCAGCAGGGCUGCAGCUCUUCUCUGCUUCUCAUCACCUGUGGCACAAGGCUGAAAUAAGAAUAGAUGCUACUUAGAAAUGUCU